UCCUUUUUUGCAUUCAAUGUUUUACUUGUUGUGAAUGUAAGGCAAAGUUAAUAAAACACAGCUGCUCCCCAGGCUCUAUUUAUGCCUUUGAGGGGUUUGCCACACCCUAUUCCCAGGUGGUGGGUAUGGAGGCCCCAGGGGUAUAUAAGCUACAGGCCUUCCACUAGGGAGUCAUUCAGCUUCUGGUCUUCCUUAAGAUCAGUGCUCUCCUACUCUUUCAAUUCAUUGCAGCUUUGGGAGACGCAGAGGCUGCUGUUCGAGGGCUCCAAGAUCUCUCUUCCAUUGUGCCUUCUACUUCCCGUGUUCCCCCACUGACUUCUUUGGAUGCAUCCUGUCUCCAUUCAUCUGAAUGUCAGAGAUCUUACUGCUUAAAGGUAUGGAGUCUGCGCUUUUCUGCAAUGCAGGGUUCUGUCCCUACUUUCCCUUGCAUCUCUCAGGGAAGAGGAUGGAUGUUAUCUUGGCUUGUGACAGU